UCCACCACCUCCUAGUCCACCACCCCCACCACCUUGCCAACCUAAGGAGAUGAUGACUUCCAGGCGGCGGCGGCGGCUCCCAACUCGGGUCAAACCGCCCCGCCGGCCGUGGACUAGGAUAAUGACUAAGUACCAGCCGGUGACUAGGUCACAGGCUAAAGAGAAGGGGGGCCCAAGGCCUUAUUUUUAAAUCCUCUCUCUCUGAGGCUCUUGACAAAAUCAGGAGUAUUGGUAAUAGUGACAAAAACAGAUCUGGUAACCAACUUGGGAACAAUUGCAAAGUGUAGUGCCAAAGCAUUUAUGGAAGCAGUGCAGGCUGGUGCUGAUAUCUCUAUGAUUGGACAGU